AGCUAAUGAAAUCUUCCAUGUUCUCUCUAAAGCUCUUCAUGUAGUCUCUGUACAUCUGGAAACAGAGCAAAUAUUAUACAAACUCAAUUUUCCUAAGGUUCUGUCAAUUUUCCUAAGGUUCUGAAUUCAUGAGUUUUUAAUACCUCAACCGCUGUUCUUCCUCUGAAUAGAGACAAGUUAUCUACAGAAAGAGACAAACACUCUUUGUUUCUAUUACCAGUCUUGUUCGUAUAGAAGAUAUCUGGAUUCGAAUCUCCGAUUUCGAGCACCCAUUUCGGUAUCGGGAUGUUAACAUCAUCUCCUAUGUUCCCCCCACAUCUAUGAAACGACAUUAUAGCUUGUAGUUUCAGUCCAAGGCUUUGUACGAUCUCAAACAAGUUUCUGUAAGCACUCCACUGGUAUUGCUUUGGACCUUCUGAUUCAACGAUUCCCCACCACACAUCAACCAUCACUCCAUCUACUUGACUCUGUUUCAGUUUCUUGAGCUGUUUCUUGAGUUUCUCUUCGUUUUCAAGAACGUUAUCGUUUGUGAUGACUCCAAGCUGAAGCAUGACGUAGACAGGAACAUAGUUGGCCAACAAUUUGUCCUCAUACGCUGUCGUAUUGAACUCCGUCGACUGUGUUUUCAAGCUUGUAAGGAUUCAAAACACACAAAACUAGAUAGACUUAGAAAAAGCUCAAAGAGUAUUUUUAUUACUAACCUUUGGUUCUGUUGUAGAAGAAGCAGUAGCUUGAGGCGUUCUUAAGGACCUCUCCUGGAUGGAGAAUCUCCAUUGGACGCGUUUUUUGCUUUCUUCAUUUUUUACAAAAAUCGAAGAUCCUUUGUGGAGAUUUCUUCCGUUGAUCAGAUUAGGGUUCGUCAACCCUAAGACGCUCAUGGUACCUUGCAAUCGAAGGAACUACACAAAUCCUUUUACUGGAAUCAUUAUAUGAUCGAACACAACUGUUUUGUUUGAUAUAUAUUUUUUUUCUGUUAGAUUUAAUUUGCAAAUUUUCUGGCGCGUUCGUAUGCUAUCAACAAAACGUGGUCAUGAUUUUCUUGCCGUUUCAAUUUUUUUUUUUUUUUUUGGUAUUUUUGGUUUAUAGUCACGUUUCUAUUCCUCAUUUUGUAAUUUCCCUGAAAAUAGAGGAAUGAUCAUAUCUAAUAAAUAUCUAUGUGAUAUUUUUUCAUUUGCUUAUGACCUUAUAAUUUGACUAUCUCAUACCAAUAUUUAAUCUGUAUAAUUUCAAGAUCAUGUUGUUUUAUUUAAACUUCAUAUAAAGGGAAAAAAUCAGAAGUAAGAAAUUUUUUGUUAAAGAUUCAACACACUAAACUGAAGAAAACAAAUUAAAAGGUACAAAAACUAAGAUUUUGAAGAAGCAUAUUGUAAAAGUUCGUUACAAGAAAUAAAGCAAUUUACUGAUUAGAACCCACAACAUAAUUCUUCUAAUGAUUCCAUCAACACAUGUACAGCAAGACCCUUCAAACACAAGUGAACCUAUUUUACCAUUUGUGCUUGACCCAAUUCUAAAACAAACGACCAUCAAUGCGUAUCUUUAUUGAUCGAUUGAUAAACCAUCAAUGCAUAGCUCACUAUAUCCAUGGGAUAAUAGGAUAUGCAACAUUCGAUCAUCCUUCUCCAUGUCCAGUGUCGUACCUAAUCAAUCUUUCAAUUCCACAUAAUAUACCUUAGGGUGUUUAAUUUCUAGUCUAAUCAAGAAGGAAAUUUUCGAAUUAAAUACAAUCUAAACAAGAAGCAAAUAUUAUAAUCUCAGACCGAACUCAAUACAUUGCUCACUAUAAAGAGUAAACAAAUGAAAAUAGUCAUACAAUAAGAUAAGGACAGUAAUAAAACCAUCCAAGAACCAGACAAGAACAUUUAUCUCAAUUUAUAGAAGUCCUAAACUAGAACAUUUGCAUAAGCUUCACGUCCUCUACAUAGUCUAAGAAGGUGAGAAGUUGACGAUGAUACUUAAUCGCUUCCAUUCCUUGGAUAUGAAGUUUCACAGCUGCCAUUUUCUCGGUGUUAUAGUAGAUAACGUGGAAAGGCGCCCCAGUGAAAUAGGACGGCGACAACACAAUUUCAUUUGUCAGGGUCACUCCAACCAAGCUAAAAUAUGCUGGUCCAACUAUAUUUGGCCACCAAGCGGGUAAUAGGUAUGUAUACUCCCACCAUUCAUGCUCUUCGGCAUCUGCUACAACAUACAACGUAAUACUUUUACUUUUUCUACAAACCGAGCUAGACCCUUCAGACACAAGUAAACCUACUUUACCAUUGUAGUUUAUUAGAGUUCCGGAACGGAAGUUAUCUAGGCCUUCAAUAAAUCUGAACUUCUCGGACCUAACAUCAAAGCAAACGACCAUGGAAUCCUCUGAAUACAUAUUGUCAGCAGCUUUGUAAUACAAAACACCAUUGAUGCAUAUCCCAUUAUUAUCUAAAGUAAAAUGGGGUCUGCUACAUUCUAUCAUUCUCCAUGACGGUUCUCUAGUUCCUAAUGUUAGAACUUGAUGCUCCUCAAAACUGAUGUUUCUUCCACCAACUAACCACGACAUGGACAAUACCUUGAAUAGUUUCUCAACAGGAUCAUACCCUAAAUAGCUAUGCAGCCCAACCCUCCUCAUUGUCUUCAUUUUCGGCAAAACUAAAGAUUGUCCCGUGCUAGGGUUAAAUAUGACCAGCUCCAACAAUGGAUUUUGCCUCCCCUUUAAGUUCCGCCCAGUUCUAAGACAGAACAAGCCAUUGAUAGGACUAAUAUUAGUAUAGCGAUGAUCAAAGCGAACACUCAUAUGAUAAGUGGCUGUUACAGCAGGCAAGUUCUCAUCUGGAAUAUUUUGAGGCUGAGGCGACGAGAAGAACCACAUCUUAUCGUAGUCUUUCAAGGCGAACAAGA
rnacentral:lncRNA from 1 species